GUGUUUCUCAACGUACCUACAGUGUCUGAUGAUUCAAAUCCUUUUCUAUGGAAGUGAGCACAGUAAGAGCAGAGACACAAGAGACCUCCUUACCCUGUUGCAGAGGGCGAGUAACAGUUCAUCCAGGUGGAGAAGAGAAACCAUUCCAGGAAGAAGGAACUGUAUAUGCAAAGGCCCUGAGGCGUGACAGAGGACAGUGUAUUGAAGCAAUGGUCUUCUGUGAUCAGUAAAGAGAAAACCUCUAUACAAGAUAGUCAACAAUAAAACCAACCUGUUGAUAACAAAAAUUCUGGAUCACAAGAUGUAUUUAUCAACACUGAUAGCAAUGGCAGAUUGAAAGCAGAACUAAGGACUGUAGAGGGAAAAAGGUCUACUGAACAGCAGCAUUACAGGUAAAAUGCCCAGGGGCCAUUAGAAAGGCUCCUGAUGGAUAACUUGGGGCAGAGAGGGGGUCAGAAAUCUUUUUUUAAACAGGUGCUUUUAGUCUCUUAGUGCCUGGGACUCUAAUGCCUUUCUUAUUUCCCUUUUAUAACUCACAUUUCCUUUUUUUCCAGUUCUGGCUUUUAAAGAAGAUUCUGCAAUAUCUAAGUAGUUUUUGGUGAAUAUUUUAAUAGACUAUUUGUUAGUACCUUUAGUCAUAGCCUGUUUCAGGUCACUAAAACUGCCUUGUGAUUUCUGAAAACAUUUGCCCUGGUCUCAUGCCAUGUUAAGAGUCAGAGAGGGCUUUUUGAUUCUUAUUAUAAAUGAAGAAACUAGGGACAAGAAAGAGUGAUUUGUUCAAGGUCAGCCUGGUGAUUAUAAAGCUGACUUCCUGAAUCAUGGGUUACACUUUCCAUCCCACUCUGCUGCCCCCAACCCCAAACUGGAUUAAAGAACCUUGUUUUACGGAAGGAAUGUUCACCAAGUUUGUUUUUAAAAAAAAAACAAAACAAAACGAAAACAAAAAAAAUCCUUACCCCCUGAACAAAUGUGUAUCUAGGAAAAGAAAUUGGUAAUCUCAAAUUAUAUUCCUUACUGUCU